rnacentral:misc_RNA from 1 species
GAUGAAGAACGUAGCGAAAUGCGAUAAGUAAUGUGAAUUGCAGAAUUCAGUGAAUCAUCGAAUCUUUGAACGCACAUUGCGCCCGCCAGUAUUCUGGCGGGCAUGCCUGUUCGAGCGUCAUUUCAACCAUCAAGCCCCCGGCUUGUGUUGGGGACCUGCGGCUGCCGCAGGCCCUGAAAACCAGUGGCGGGCUCGCUAGUCACUCCGAGCGUAGUAGUUACAUCUCGCUCAGGGCGUGCUGCGGGUUCCGGCCGUUAAAAGCCUUAUUUACCCAAGGUUGACCUCGGAUCAGGUAGGAAGACCAGCUGAACUUAAGCAUAUCAAUAAGCGGAGGA